GACGAACGCUGGCGGCGUGCUUAACACAUGCAAGUCGAACGGAAAGGCCUCUUUCGGGGGGUACUCGAGUGGCGAACGGGUGAGUAACACGUGAGUAACCUGCCCUUGACUUUGGGAUAACUUCAGGAAACUGGGGCUAAUACCGGCUAGGAGCUCCUGCUGCAUGGUGGGGGUUGGAAAGUUUCGGCGGUUGGGGAUGGACUCGCGGCUUAGCAGCUUGUUGGUGGGGUAGUGGCUUACCAAGGCUUUGACGGGUAGCCGGCCUGAGCGGGCGACCGGCCACAUUGGGACUGAGAUACGGCCCAGACUCCUACGGGAGGCAGCAGUGGGGAAUAUUGCACAAUGGGUGGAAGCCUGAUGCAGCAACGCCGGGUGCGGGAUGACGGCCUUCGGGUUGUAAACCGCUUUCGCUCAUGACGAAGCUUUGUGUGACGGUAGUGGGUAAAGAAGCACCGGCUAACUACGUG
rnacentral:rRNA from 1 species